rnacentral:miRNA from 1 species
AGCUAAGUUUGUUCUGGGUAUAAGCUUUCGUGUGCAUGCACACUUCUUCAAAUACUUCAGAUAUCUGAAGAAGUGUGCAUGCACAUGAAAGCUUAUACCCAGAGCAAACUUAGUUGG